CCUACGGGAGGCAGCAGUGAGGAAUAUUGGUCAAUGGCCGUAAGGCUGAACCAGCCAAGUAGCGUGAGGGAAGACUGCCCUAUGGGUUGUAAACCUCUUUUAUGCGGGGAUAAAGGUGUCCACGUGUGGAUGUUUGCAGGUACCGCAUGAAUAAGGACCGGCUAAUUCCGUGCCAGCAGCCGCGGUAAUACGGAAGGUCCGGGCGUUAUCCGGAUUUAUUGGGUUUAAAGGGAGCGUAGGCCGGUCUUUAAGCGUGCCGUGAAAUUUUGUGGCUCAACCAUGAGAGUGCGGCGCGAACUGGAGACCUUGAGUGCGCGGAAGGCAGGCGGAAUUCGUGGUGUAGCGGUGAAAUGCUUAGAGAUCAUACAGAACACCGAUUGCGAAGGCAGCUUACCAAUCUAUAUCUGACGUUGAGGCACGAAAGCGUGGGGAGCAAACAGGAUUAGAUACCCCUGUAGUC
rnacentral:rRNA from 1 species